rnacentral:tRNA from 1 species
GCCCUCGUAGCUCAGUUGGCUAGAGCGUGUGCUUUUCUUAAGCCUUCCCCUUGCAGGCGUGGGUUCGAAUCCCACCGAGGCCG